rnacentral:siRNA from 1 species
GAUUAUAUGCGAGGUGGGUUCAGA